ensembl:lncRNA
UUCAAGUUGAUACUUUAUAUUUAGCUGAGUCGGGGUGUCCGACUGACGCUUCUGUGUUUGUGAAAUUAAAUCAAGGGGCCUUGCUUUGAGAGAUGGUGCAAGCACUUCUUUCAUUUGCCUCCUUUUCCUAUUCCCUUUGCCACCAAUUUCUGGAAUACCUGAACCAUCCAGUGCUAACAUAAACACAGCUAGGGUUGAUCCGACAAAGAUGGGGGUCGGACGGGCCAUUGCUGUACUGACAUCAGGUGGUGAUGCCCAAGACCAGAAAUGCGGGUUCUCGUCUGAAUGUGAUAAUUGUGGCUGAGGGAGCAAUCAACAAAGAAGGGAAACCAAUCACCUGUGACCAGCUAAAAGAUGGUGGCACCCCAACUCCUUUUGACAGAAAUUUUGCUACCAAGAUGGGUGCUAAAGAUGUUCUCUGACUGACUGAGAAACUGAAGGAGUGUUACAGACACGACUCUGCGUGUAUGUUGGGCAUGAGGAAGACAGGACUGGUGUUAGCCUCUGGCUGAAUUGAAAGAACAAACAGAUUUUGAACACUGUAUUCCGCAGAACCAGUGGUGGUUGAAGCUGAGGCCUAUUAUGAAGAUCUUGGCCAAGUACAAGAUUAGUCUGGACACCUCUGAACACGCUCUUAUGGAGCAUGUCAUCAGCAGGAAGCCUCCAAUUCACGACUCUCACGUAGUAAUCAUGAGCAAAAAUGUGGGCCGACAGAUACAAAAAAAAAAAAAAAAAAACCAUAUGAAAUGACUGAAUUAUUUAUUUAAAUUAUUUGUUCAUCUGUCUAUUUCUUAUACUUUCAUUUUGUUUGUAUUUAUAGUAUUUAUGGUAAUGCUUGUGCACUAUUUUAUCUGAUACAAAAUCUGACUGAAUAUAAAUUUCUUAGACAAGAAAGAUUUAUUUCCUAUAUAUAAAGGAAACUUUUAUAUAAUUGUCCAGUAAAAGAACUAUGUUCACCACCAAAUGUCAGUCAUGAAUGGAUCAUCCUAGAAAUGCUAUAAUACAUCUGUAUGUUUAUUCAUUGUUAUGCAUUAUUGAAAUAAUGACACACAUUGUCUUAAUUUACAUGUACUGGUUGGAUGAAAUGCUCCUUUACUUUAAACUCCUUU